rnacentral:rRNA from 1 species
UACGUAGGGUGCGAGCGUUAAUCGGAAUUACUGGGCGUAAAGCGUGCGCAGGCGGUUGUGCAAGACAGAUGUGAAAUCCCCGGGCUUAACCUGGGAACUGCAUUUGUGACUGCAUGGCUAGAGUGCGGCAGAGGGGGAUGGAAUUCCGCGUGUAGCAGUGAAAUGCGUAGAUAUGCGGAGGAACACCGAUGGCGAAGGCAAUCCCCUGGGCCUGCACUGACGCUCAUGCACGAAAGCGUGGGGAGCAAACAGG